rnacentral:rRNA from 1 species
UACAGAGGGCCCGAGCGUUGCGCGGAUUUAUUGGGCUUAAAGGGUGCGUAGGCGGAAAUGAAAGUGUUUUGUGAAAUCCCUCGGCUUAACCGGGGAAUUGCAGGGCAAACUCCAUUUCUUGAGGUCGGUAGGAGCUGCCGGAACAGUAGGUGUAGCGGUGAAAUGCGUAGAUAUCUACUGGAACGCCGAUGGUGAAGACGGGCAGCUGGGCCGAUUCUGACGCUGAGGCACGAAAGCGUGGGGAUCAAACAGG